rnacentral:piRNA from 1 species
GGGCAUUGUCCAAUGGCUGUAGCCUCAUGAG